AGCAGCCGCGGUAAUUCCAGCUCCAAUAGCGUAUAUUAAAGUUGUUGCAGUUAAAAGCUCGUAGUUGAAUUUCGGGACCAUCAUGUUGGUCGUGCCUCGGUACGUACUGGCAUUGUUGGUUUCUCCCUUCUGACGAACCAUGAUGUCAUUUAUUUGGUGUCGUGGGAAAUCAGGACUGUUACUUUGAAAAAUUGAGUGUCUAAAGCAGGCUCACGCUUGAAUACAUUAGCAUGGAAUAAUGAAAUAGGACGUUUGAUUCUAUUUUGUUGGUUUCUAGGAUCGACGUAAUGAUUAAUAGGGAUAGUUGGGGGCAUUAGUAUUCAAUUGUCAGAGGUGAAAUUCUUGGAUUUAUUGAAGACUAACUACUGCGAAAGCAUUUGCCAAGGAUGUUUUCAUUAAUCAAGAACGAAAGUUAGGGAUCGAAGACGAUCAGAUACCGUCGUAGUCUUAACCAUAAACUAUAGCCGACUAGGGAUCGGAUGAUGUUAAUUUUUAAUGUACUUCAUUCGGUACCG
rnacentral:misc_RNA from 1 species